AUGGUAUUGGUUCACUCUGUUGGUAUUGAUGACUGGUAUAGGUCUCACUCUGAUGGUAUUGAUGGAUGGUAUAGGUCUCACUCUGAUGGUAUUGAUGGAUGGUAUAGGUCUCACUCUGAUGGUAUUGAUGGAUGGUAUUGGUUUCACUCUGUUGGUAUUGAUGGAUGGUAUUGGUUUCACUCUGAUGGUAUUGAUGGAUGGUAUUGGUUUCACUCUGAUGGUAUUGAUGGAUGGUAUUGGUUUCACUCUGAUGGUAUUGAUGGAUGGUAUUGGUUUCACUCUGUUGGUAUUGAUGGAUGGUAUUGGUUUCACUCUGAUGGUAUUGAUGGAUGGUAUUGGUUUCACUCUGUUGGUAUUGAUGGAUGGUAUUGGUUUCACUCUGUUGGUAUUGAUGACUGGUAUUGGUUUCACUCUGAUAGUAUUGAUGACUGGUAUUGGUUUCACUCUGAUGGUAUUGAUGACUGUUAUUGGUCUCACUCUGAUGGUAUUGAUGGAUGGUAUAGGUCUCACUCUGAUGGUAUUGAUGGAUGGUAUAGGUCUCACUCUGAUGGUAUUGAUGGGUGGUAUUGGUUUCACUCUGAUGGUAUUGAUGGAUGGUAUAGGUCUCACUCUGAUGGUAUUGAUGGAUGGUAUAGGUCUCACUCUGAUGGUAUUGAUGGAUGGUAUUGGUUUCACUCUGUUGGUAUUGAUGGAUGGUAUUGGUUUCACUCUGAUGGUAUUGAUGGAUGGUAUUGGUUUCACUCUGAUGGUAUUGAUGGAUGGUAUUGGUUUCACUCUGAUGGUAUUGAUGGAUGGUAUUGGUUUCACUCUGUUGGUAUUGAUGGAUGGUAUUGGUUUCACUCUGAUGGUAUUGAUGGAUGGUAUUGGUUUCACUCUGUUGGUAUUGAUGGAUGGUAUUGGUUUCACUCUGUUGGUAUUGAUGACUGGUAUUGGUUUCACUCUGAUAGUAUUGAUGACUGGUAUUGGUUUCACUCUGAUGGUAUUGAUGACUGUUAUUGGUCUCACUCUGAUGGUAUUGAUGGAUGGUAUAGGUCUCACUCUGAUGGUAUUGAUGGAUGGUAUAGGUCUCACUCUGAUGGUAUUGAUGGGUGGUAUUGGUUUCACUCUGAUGGUAUUGAUGGAUGGUAUAGGUCUCACUCUGAUGGUAUUGAUGGAUGGUAUUGGUUUCACUCUGAUGGUAUUGAUGAAUGGUAUUGGUUUCACUCUGAUGGUAUUGAUGGAUGGUAUUGGUUUCACUCUGAUGGUAUUGAUGGAUGGUAUUGGUUUCACUCUGAUGGUAUUGAUGGAUGGUAUUGGUUUCACUCUGUUGGUAUUGAUGGAUGGUAUUGGUUUCACUCUGUUGGUAUUGAUGGAUGGUAUUGGUUUCACUCUGUUGGUAUUGAUGACUGGUAUAGGUCUCACUCUGAUGGUAUUGAUGGAUGGUAUAGGUCUCACUCUGAUGGUAUUGAUGGAUGGUAUAGGUCUCACUCUGAUGGUAUUGAUGGAUGGUAUUGGUUUCACUCUGUUGGUAUUGAUGGAUGGUAUUGGUUUCACUCUGAUGGUAUUGAUGGAUGGUAUUGGUUUCACUCUGAUGGUAUUGAUGGAUGGUAUUGGUUUCACUCUGAUGGUAUUGAUGGAUGGUAUUGGUUUCACUCUGUUGGUAUUGAUGGAUGGUAUUGGUUUCACUCUGAUGGUAUUGAUGGAUGGUAUUGGUUUCACUCUGUUGGUAUUGAUGGAUGGUAUUGGUUUCACUCUGUUGGUAUUGAUGACUGGUAUUGGUUUCACUCUGAUAGUAUUGAUGACUGGUAUUGGUUUCACUCUGAUGGUAUUGAUGACUGUUAUUGGUCUCACUCUGAUGGUAUUGAUGGAUGGUAUAGGUCUCACUCUGAUGGUAUUGAUGGAUGGUAUAGGUCUCACUCUGAUGGUAUUGAUGGGUGGUAUUGGUUUCACUCUGAUGGUAUUGAUGGAUGGUAUAGGUCUCACUCUGAUGGUAUUGAUGGAUGGUAUUGGUUUCACUCUGAUGGUAUUGAUGGAUGGUAUUGGUUUCACUCUGAUGGUAUUGAUGGAUGGUAUUGGUUUCACUCUGAUGGUAUUGAUGGAUGGUAUUGGUUUCACUCUGUUGGUAUUGAUGGAUGGUAUUGGUUUCACUCUGAUGGUAUUGAUGGAUGGUAUUGGUUUCACUCUGUUGGUAUUGAUGGAUGGUAUUGGUUUCACUCUGAUGGUAUUGAUGGAUGGUAUUGGUUUCACUCUGUUGGUAUUGAUGGAUGGUAUUGGUUUCACUCUGUUGGUAUUGAUGACUGGUAUUGGUUUCACUCUGAUAGUAUUGAUGACUGGUAUUGGUUUCACUCUGAUGGUAUUGAUGACUGUUAUUGGUCUCACUCUGAUGGUAUUGAUGGAUGGUAUAGGUCUCACUCUGAUGGUAUUGAUGGAUGGUAUAGGUCUCACUCUGAUGGUAUUGAUGGGUGGUAUUGGUUUCACUCUGAUGGUAUUGAUGGAUGGUAUAGGUCUCACUCUGAUGGUAUUGAUGGAUGGUAUUGGUUUCACUCUGAUGGUAUUGAUGGAUGGUAUUGGUUUCACUCUGAUGGUAUUGAUGGAUGGUAUUGGUUUCACUCUGAUGGUAUUGAUGGAUGGUAUUGGUUUCACUCUGUUGGUAUUGAUGGAUGGUAUUGGUUUCACUCUGAUGGUAUUGAUGGAUGGUAUUGGUUUCACUCUGUUGGUAUUGAUGGAUGGUAUUGGUUUCACUCUGUUGGUAUUGAUGACUGGUAUAGGUCUCACUCUGAUGGUAUUGAUGGAUGGUAUAGGUCUCACUCUGAUGGUAUUGAUGGAUGGUAUAGUUCUCACUCUGAUGGUAUUGAUGGAUGGUAUUGGUCUCACUCUGAUGGUAUUGAUGGAUGGUAUAGGUCUCACUCUGAUGGUAUUGAUGGAUGGUAUUGGUUUCACUCUGUUGGUAUUGAUGGAUGGUAUUGGUUUCACUCUGCUGGUAUUGAUGACUGUUAUUGGUCUCUGAUGGUAUUGAUGGAUGGUGUAGGUCUCACUCUGAUGGUAUUGAUGGAUGGUGUAGGUCUCACUCUGAUGGUAUUGAUGGAUGGUGUAGGUCUCACUCUGAUGGUAUUGAUGGAUGGUAUAGAUCUCACACUGCUGGUAUUGAUGGCUAGUAUUGGUCUCACUCUGCUGGUAUUGAUGGCUGGUAAAGGUCUCACACUCUUCUGGUAUUGA
rnacentral:lncRNA from 1 species